rnacentral:rRNA from 1 species
CCUACGGGAGGCAGCAGUGGGGAAUAUUGCACAAUGGGGGAAACCCUGAUGCAGCGACGCCGCGUGAGUGAAGAAGUAUUUCGGUACGUAAAGCUCUAUCAGCAGGGAAGAAAAUGACGGUACCUGACUAAGAAGCCCCGGCUAACUACGUGCCAGCAGCCGCGGUAAUACGUAGGGGGCAAGCGUUAUCCGGAUUUACUGGGUGUAAAGGGAGCGUAGACGGCAGCGCAAGUCUGGAGUGAAAUCCCAUGGCUUAACCAUGGAACUGCUUUGGAAACUGUGCAGCUAGAGUGCAGGAGAGGUAAGCGGAAGUCCUAGUGUAGCGGUGAAAUGCGUAGAUAUUAGGAGGAACACCAGGGGCGAAGGCGGCUUACUGGACUGUAACUGACGUUGAGGCUCGAAAGCGUGGGGAGCAAACAGGAUUAGAUACCCCAGUAGUC